GACGAACGCUGGCGGCGUGCCUAAUACAUGCAAGUCGAACGAGAGCGCCCGGUGCUUGCACUGGUCAAUCUAGUGGCGAACGGGUGAGUAACACGUGGGUAACCUGCUCAUCAGAGGGGGAUAACAUCCGGAAACGGAUGCUAAAACCGCAUAGGUCUUCGAGCCGCAUGGCUUGAAGAGGAAAAGAGGCGCAAGCUUCUGCUGAUGGAUGUACCCGCGGUGCAUUAGCUAGUUGGUGAGGUAACGGCUCACCAAGGCCGUGAUGCAUAGCCGACCUGAGAGGGUGAUCGGCCACAUUGGGACUGAGACACGGCCCAAACUCCUACGGGAGGCAGCAGUAGGGAAUCUUCCGCAAUGGACGCAAGUCUGACGGAGCAACGCCGCGUGAGUGAAGAAGGUUUUCGGAUCGUAAAACUCUGUUGUUAGAGAAGAACAAGUGCUAGAGUAACUGUUAGCGCCUUGACGGUAUCUAACCAGAAAGCCACGGCUAACUACGUG
rnacentral:rRNA from 1 species